CCUUCCUAUCCUACGGGAGGCAGCAGUAAGGAAUAUUGGUCAAUGGGCGGAAGCCUGAACCAGCCAUGCCGCGUGCAGGAUGACUGCCCUAUGGGUUUAAACUGCUUUGUCCAGGAAUAACCUUUAUACGUGUAUUAGCUGAAUGUACGAAGAAUAGUCCGACUUGCGCC
rnacentral:rRNA from 1 species